rnacentral:rRNA from 1 species
CACGUAGGGCGCAAGCGUUGUCCGGAAUUAUUGGGCGUAAAGAGCUCGUAGGUGGUUUGUUACGUCUGCUGUGAAAACCUAGGGCUUAACCCUGGGCUUGCAGUGGAUACGGGCAGACUAGAGGUAGGUAGGGGAGAAUGGAAUUCCUGGUGUAGCGGUGAAAUGCGCAGAUAUCAGGAGGAACCCCAGAGGCGAAGGCGGCGUCCUGGCUCGCAUCUGACGCUCAGACACGACAGCAUGGGGAGCGAACGGG